rnacentral:rRNA from 1 species
UACCUAGUGGCGGACGGGUGAGUAACGCGUGAGUAACCUGCCUUGGAGUGGGGAAUAACACCUGGAAACAGGUGCUAAUACCGCAUAAGCGCACAGGGCCGCAUGGCCCGGUGUGAAAAACUCCGGUGGUGUAAGAUGGACCCGCGUCUGAUUAGCUUGUUGGCGGGGUAGGGGCCCACCAAGGCGACGAUCAGUAGCCGGCCUGAGAGGGUGGACGGCCACAUUGGGACUGAGACACGGCCCAAACUCCUACGGAAGGCAGCAG